rnacentral:rRNA from 1 species
AUUGAACGCUGGCGGCAGGCCUAACACAUGCAAGUCGAGCGGAGCAGCGGACGGGUGAGUGAUGCCUAGGACUCUGACUGGUCGUGGGGGAUAACGUCCGGAACCGGGCGCUAAUGCUGCAUCCUCUCAGCUGCACAUAGGUCGGAUUCGAUAGUUGGUGGGGUAACGGCCUACCAAGGCGACGCUCCGUAACUGGUCUGAGAGGAUGACCAGUCACACUGGAACUGAGACACGGUCCAGACUCCUACGGGAGGCAGCAGUGGGGAAUAUUGGACAAUGGGCGCAAGCCUGAUCCAGCCAUGCCGCGUGUGUGAAGAAGGUCUUCGGAUUGUAAAGCACUUUAAGUUGGGAGGCGUUACCAACAGAAUAAGCACCGGCUAACUUCGUGCCAGCCGCCGCGGUAAUAC